CUGAUUGAAUUCUGCGAGCACGGCCAGACUUGGGACCGGGAGAGGUGUGGGGUACGCUCAGGGUAGGGGUAAAAUCCUGUCAUCCUGAGCGGACCACCUGUUGCGAAGGCGCCACACUAGAACGGAUCCGACGGUCAGGGACGAAGCCUAGGGGCACGAACCGGAUUAGAUACCCGGGUAGUCCUAGGUGUAAACGCUGUGGACUUGGUGUUGGGGACUCUCCGAGAUUCCACAGUGCCGAAGCGAAGGUGAUAAGUCCACUGCCUGGGGAGUACGGUCGCAAGGCUGAAACUUAAAGGAAUUGGCGGGGGAGCACCGCAACCUGAGGAUUGUGCGGUUUAAUUGGAUUCAACGCCGGGAA
rnacentral:rRNA from 1 species